rnacentral:rRNA from 1 species
CCUACGGGCGGCAGCAGUGAGGAAUAUUGGUCAAUGGACGCGAGUCUGAACCAGCCAUGCCGCGUGCAGGAUGACUGCCCUAUGGGUUGUAAACUUCUUUUAUACGGGAGUAAAGCGCGACACGUGUGCCGUGUUGUAAGUACCUUAUGAAUAAGGAUCGGCUAACUCCGUGCCAGCAGCCGCGGUAAUACGGAGGAUCCGAGCGUUAUCCGGAUUUAUUGGGUUUAAAGGGUGCGUAGGUGGUUUGUUAAGUUAGUGGUGAAAGUUCGGGGCUCAACCGCAACACUGCAAUUGAUACUGGCGGGCUUGAGUACAGUUGAGGUAGGCGGAAUGUGUGGUGUAGCGGUGAAAUGCUUAGAGAUCACGAAGAACACCGAUUGCGAAGGCAGCUUACUAAACUGCCACUGACAUUGAUGCUCGAAAGCGUGGGUAGCAAACAGGAUUAGAUACCCUGGUAGUC